rnacentral:lncRNA from 1 species
CUUUUGGAAACACGUUCCUUUGAGACAGAGGUGGGGUGUUCAGGGAAGAUUGCGGUUUCCCUGGCUGGUUGCAGGGGUGGCAUGGGCCGGGGCUUGAAUUAAUUUUUCUGAUAAUUUUUAGAAGUAUUUCUUGAGUGUUACACCUUUCUGUAGUGUUACACAGUUUUAGUAUUUGUUCUUGUUGUGUACACAGGAACACCUGCAGUUACUACUGGAAGCAGUUGUUUGUGUGGGAGAGAUAACAUUCAUGUUCGUCCAGCCGUGUUAGAAGGCUUGGAGCUGCUGGGGUGGCCAGAGAUGGCGAUGAUGGAUGAGCCCUGCGCCCCGCAUGGUGGAUAGGACCGCAGAUGAAGCAACUGUUUCUUCAUCCCAUUUGCAGAGAUAGCAGCCUGGUUUGGAUCCUGAAAAAAUGGUCCCUUCUCGAGGAGCACAAUUCCAAGCCACCCUUCAGAGGUGUGUCUCUCUUCACUUGGGACUUGCCAUUUUCUUUUAAGGUGCUUUGGCCCCUGGUAAAGUUGAUUUAAAAUUUGGUGAAAAUGGUAUUUUUGACCUGGAAUGAACCAUAGCAACAAAUAGUUCAAACACCAUAUUUUAAUCAUUAACAGACAUACACUCAAGGAGGCUGAGGAUUGACCAAGGUCUCAAAAUUAGGUCAUACAAAAAUCAGCUCCUCAAAGCAGGAGGCAUCACGCUUCCUGAUUUCAAGCUAUACUGUAAAGCUACAGUAAUCAACACAGUAUGGCACUGGUAUAAAAACAGACACACAGAUCAAUGGGACAGAAUUGAGAGCCCAGAAAUAAACUCAAUUGUAUAAAGUCA